AUGAGCACUUUCAGCCUCGAGGGCUGAGGUUUCCAACCGCCCUUCACCGGCCUCCGGGCUAAUCACUCCACACAGCCCAUGGACACCUCAGAGCUCUUCAGCACUUCAGCUGAGCCCUCAUUUUCUUCUGCUUUUACCACCCUGGCUUUACCUCAUCGGAAUAGGCACCAGUGCCCAGUUUUGGUGGUCCUUCCCUCCCCGGGCUGUUCAGAAGAAAUGAGCGCCCUUCAGAUGUUUGCCACCAGGGGGUGCCGUAUAGACCUCAGCUUGUUCUUCACUUAGUCAUACUUCAAAGCUGGGUGACAUUGGCCCCCUCGUAUAAUCUUGCUACCAGGAAACCGAGCUGAGGGUCCCGGGAAACUCCAGGAGGAACUGUGUCCAUCAAAGAGUGGAAGAACAGUUUAUUCUAGACCUAUCCAGAGCACCCUUAGAGUGACACUCGCUUCGCCUGCCACCAGUCUUGGGUCUUUUAAGAGGAGUCAGUGAAAUUGGCUCCGAGAAGCCAGUCAUCUUAAUAUGAGUUCAUUGGCCAAUGCCUUGGCCUUGCUGGAGUUGGUUGUAUGUCUUUCAAACAGUGACUUUUGCGAGCAGGGCUCCACUCGAGUCUCUGGCUCAGCCUCAUCCAGUUUCUUUGUUGCCAGAGAGGGCAAGGAAGCCAUUCACCUGAUGCAGACCGUUCUGCCCGGCUCUCUACUUUAACCCGGAAGGAAUGCUUUCCCAUACCAGGGCAGGGAAGAGUCCUUAUUCACCCGCCUUUCUUGGACUCAGGUUUUAUCUCGGCUACUGCAGCCACCCACUGUUAACUGUUGAACCCUUUGGUUUCCUGUAGAGGGUUCAUCAAGGACCCGAAUUUAGAGACAACUCAGCAAUAUCUUAGAAGACCAAGGCUGUGUCAGAUGGCAGUGCCAACCAGCCUGCUAAGUCUUUCUCCUCAGAUGCUGUAGGCUGGACUGUUGGGAUCCUAUCUUAUAAACUGGUUACUGAAGUACUUUUCAGUCACCAUAUUGGCUGACUUGUCCCCAGUCUUGUCUGACCCUUGACUCACACGAUGAAAGUGUAGUGAAGUGCUUUAUUUAUUUAAAUUCGAGCUGAUCUUGGUUUAGACUUAGUUUUGGUAUUCUCAGUGAACCCCGUGAAAACUUUUGAAACCCGCGACUUCCCAUUGCUCAGCCAUGGCUUACGACGUCUCUUACUAUUGAUCCUCUCAUCGUUCCAGAACCUCAGUUCUUUCCAGAUAAGCCUGCCACAUGCAUACCGGAGUGGCCUGCACCCAUGUAUGUGAUUCUCCCCUACCUUUCAUACUGACCCAUCCUCUAAAGACUUUUUCCGGCGACUUUGUCAGUCCACCAGGGGCUCUGCAGUCACAGCCACCGCUGGGGCCAGCAUUGCCUGCGCAAGGCCCGUUUGCCCAGCCUGCUCGGGGACAGCUAUUUAGCUGAUUUCUGUCUCCAGACUUUGCUCCUGAAGCUCGGCCUGUGUGCCAGAGAGGUGUACUUCCUUCUCUUGGGGAAGGUACCCCUGACCCUUUUGCAAGUGUCAGUACCAGGAAGAAGGGAUAAGCUCUAAGUGAUAUCUGCCUUUGACAUUCUCAGCAAUUUUUCCAUCAACAAAGCUAAGAUUUUCUGCCUGGGAGCCACCAACAGAAAUCUGAGUACCGGGGACAGUAAUUGAUCGAGUGUCCAUGCUGCUGUUAGACAACUUGUAGCCACAGGGUCUAUGGCCCAGGGAUCAGCUUUACACCUGGAACACUCAACGUUGCUGCUUUCCUGAGGGGGCACGGACUUUGCCACCACCCUCUUGCUGUCCUGCAGCACUCUCGCUGUAAUAUAAAGAGGAUCUGUGUGAACAGCCUAUCUGUCCUUGGAGGCAGGCAUUCUCCUUCAUGCCUAUAGUCAUAGCCAGCUGAGUGAAGACAAUCUGUUACUGUUGGGAGUGUGAGCAUCAAGGAAAAGGCGGAAGAGCCAAGUGGCAAUGUUGUGCCUUCUUGCAGUCAAAUGACCUGGGUGGGACCCAUUCUACUAGAGUGCACACCCUGUUGUAGCAGCAGGUCCGCCAGCGCCAUCCAUAUGUGUUGGAGGAGACUUCUUAACCUUCCGCCAGAGCUCCUGCUAAACCUCUUGGCUAGAACACUCUGGUGGAAGCGGAGGAGGUCAGCAUCCCCUUGCUAUUCUUCUCAUGACUUCAGUCUGACCACCUGGGGCAUACCUGACCAGAACUCAUCUGUAGAAGACACAAAGGCCAGGCUCACGUUCUAUACUUAUAGGCUCUUACAUUUUCACAUGUAGACAUGGUAUGUGGCCCAUGUGGCUGAAAGCAUUGUAGCAGGAGACACAUAACAUUCAUGUUGGGGAGCGGGGUGGGGGGCUGGAGUGUUUCUCUUUAUGCUGUCCUGAGCUCCUGGGGAGAUUGUAGCCAGAAUGCUUCUGUUAUAGUCAGAGGGGUCAAGGCUGUGCUUUUAGUGUGGCAUAGCUUUUUUUUUUUUUUGCCUCAGUCAAAAUACCUGGUCUACAAGCUAUGGUACCUCCUACAACUUUUGGGGAAAUGGCACCACUGAGGAAUCACCUGUAUUUAAAGGUGAUACAGAACGUUUAGGUUAGGAUAUUGCAGCUGUGGCAUGCACGUUUUUUAAGUGCUGAAUCUUUAGCUAACCCAGGAAGUGUUUGUUGAAGACGGAAGGGGUCGGAAGGGGUCAUAGGAGGACCAACCCUUCUUUGUUUUCCUGGCUAGGGAGCUCUGUAAAAUAAAGAAGCAAAGGCUACCCUUUAAAAGCCAAAGCGACUACUUUCCCCAUUAGACCUCACCCUACUGUGAAGAGGAUCAGGUUCACGAACUCGGGCCAAAUGAACUUCAGUUUCUGACUUCUUGUGUCAAGUAAGGGAUGUCAGGCCCGGUGGACCAAAGGCUGGAAGAUGCAGAGGCAGGGUGAUAUGAUCUCGUUCCAUUUUUUUUUUUUUUGUUUUUGUCAGCUGCUUCCCAGUGUUCUAAGGUCCCUGCUGGUAGCAUUGUCCCAGACGUGUAUUGGAAACUCUACUUGAGGUUCCUUAAAAUAUUUCAAUAUUUCUUUUAGGGUGUGCUCUAUUAAAAACAAAUGGGAUGUAAGCCUGCUUCAGGUCUGUGUUGCUUUGAUGAAGUGGCUAAGACUAGGAAGUGCUGUAGCAUUUUCUCUGUCCAAUCACAUUAGGGCAGUGACAGGCCUGUGAUUAGACAGGAAUAGAGAGGUGGAGCUAGAGUUGGAGGAGGAAAAAGGUCAGGAGCAGGAGGUGGAGAAAGGUCAGGAGCAGGAGGAGAGAGGUCAUGGAUGCAGAUGAUGAGGACCAGCCAGACUCCACGAAGUUAAACAACCAAGCAAAGGUUUUUACAAAGUAGAUUAAUUGGGUUAGAAUACUGUCUUUAUUAUUUGGUUCUGAAAUGAUUGAAUUGGCAUCUUGUAAA